rnacentral:rRNA from 1 species
GAUGAACGCUGGCGGCGUGCUUAACACAUGCAAGUCGAACGUGCUUAUUGUGGAAAUUCUUUCGGGAAUGGAGAGGAAAUGAAAGUGGUGAAAGGUUGAGUAACACGUGAUCAGCCUACCUUAAAUAGGGGAAUAGCCGUCGGAAACGACGAUUAAUUCUGCAUGAGACCACAGAAACGCAAGAUACAGGGGUCAAAGGUUUAACGGUGUAAUAGGUGCUCGCGUCUGAUUAGCUUGUUGGAAGGGCAAAGGCAUACCAAGGCGCCGAUCAGCAGACGGGCAGAGAGGAAGGGCGGCGACAUCUGCACUGAGACACGGUACAAACUCCUACGGGAGGCAGCAGAGGGGAAUACUGCACAAUGGGGGGAACCAUGAUGCUCCGACGCCGCGUGAGCGAAGAAGGUUGUCGAAUCGAAAUGCUCAGUCCUAUGAGAAGAUAAUGACGGUAUCAAAGGAGAAAGCCCCGGCUAAAUACGUG